rnacentral:misc_RNA from 1 species
GAUGAAGAACGUAGCGAAAUGCGAUAAGUAAUGUGAAUUGCAGAAUUCCGUGAAUCAUCGAAUCUUUGAACGCACAUUGCGCCCCCUGGCAUUCCGGGGGGCAUGCCUGUCCGAGCGUCAUUUCUGCCCUCAAGCACGGCUUGUGUGUUGGGUGUGGUCCCCCCGGGGGCCUGCCCGAAAGGCAGCGGCGACGUCCGUCUGGUCCUCGAGCGUAUGGGGCUCUGUCACUCGCUCGGGAAGGACCUGCGGGGGUUGGUCACCACUAUAUUUUACCACGGUUGACCUCGGAUCAGGUAGGAGUUACCCGCUGAACUUAAGCAUAUCAAUAAGCGGAGGA